rnacentral:rRNA from 1 species
GUCGGUGUCAACUGGCAUGUCCUGUGGAACGUCCUGCCGGUGGCGGACCGGGCUUUCGGCUUGCGUAAGGGCUUACGCUCGAAGCAGGCCGAACAGUACCGGCCGCCGGUCCAAUCCCGCCACGGUGCUCUUCACCGAGUGUCGAGGUGGGCCGGCACGUUUACUUUGAACAAAUUAGAGUGCUUAAAGCAGGCUGGUGUCCGCCUGAAUACUGUGUGCAUGGAAUAAUAGAAUAGGACCUCGGUUCUAUUUUGUUGGUUUUCGGAACCCGAGGUAAUGAUUAAUAGGGACAGGCGGGGGCAUUCGUAUUGCGACGUUAGAGGUGAAAUUCUUGGAUCGUCGCAAGACGAACCUAAGCGAAAGCAUUUGCCAAGUAUGUUCUCGUUAAUCAAGAACGAAAGUUAGAGGUUCGAAGGCGAUCAGAUACCGCCCUAGUUCUAACCAUAAACGAUGCCAGCCAGCGAUCCGCCGAAGUUCCUCCGAUGACUCGGCGGGCAGCUUCCGGGAAACCAAAGCUUUUGGGUUCCGGGGGAAGUAUGGUUGCAAAGCUGAAACUUAAAGGAAUUGACGGAAGGGCACCACCAGGAGUGGAGCCUGCGGCUUAAUUUGACUCAACACGGGAAACCUCACCAGGCCCGGACACCGGAAGGAUUGACAGAUUGAGAGCUCUUUCUUGAUUCGGUGGGUGGUGGUGCAU